rnacentral:rRNA from 1 species
CAUGCAAAAAUCCGUAAACCAGUGAAUUCAGCCCUAAACUAUCUAUUAAUCUUAGGGAGUAAGGACAUAGCAAGCGUAUCAUAAAACUCAGCUAAAGACGCUUACCUCAGCCACGCCCCCACGGGAUUCAGCAGUGAUAAAAAUUAAGCAAUGAACGAAAGUUUGACUAAGUUAUACCUACAUAAUAGGGUUGGUAAAUUUCGUGCCAGCCACCGCGGUCAUACGAUUAACCCAAAUUAAUAUUAUACCGGCGUAAAACGUGCCACAGAGAAAAAACACAAUAGAAUUAAAAACCAACCAAUAUGUGAAAAUUCAUCGUUGGACUAAACAUCAGUAACGAAAGUAAUUCUAAUUAUUAUACACGAUAGCUAAGAUCCAAACUGGGAUUAGAUACCCCACUAUGCUUAGCCCUAAACUUCAACAUUACAUAACGAAAUCGUUUGCCUGAGAACUACUGGCUAUCGCUUAAAACUCAAAGGACUUGGCGGUACUUUAUAUCCAUCUAGAGGAGCCUGUUCUAUAAUCGAUAAACCCCGAUUUACCUCACCAUCCCUUGCUAAUUCAGCCUAUAUACCGCCAUCUUCAGCAAACCUUAAAAAGGAAUAAAAGUAAGCAAGAGAACUACUCACUAAAAACGUUAGGUCAAGGUGUAGCCUAUGGAAUGGGAAGUAAUGGGCUACAUUUUCUAUAUAAAGAACAUUACGAUACCCUAUGUGAAAUAUAUAGGACAAAGGAGGAUUUAGUAGUAAAUUAAGAAUAGAGAGCUUAAU